AUACCCGAUACAAGAAACAUUCCUUGAUGAUUUCAUUGUGACUUCUACAAAGACAAAACACUUACAGUCACUACACUUUAUCGAUUACUGUCCACACCUGUUCUUAGUUGGUGGUGAAUUUUUAAAAUUCAUUGGGUUGCAGUACAUGCAGUUAACAUGAUGGUUGGAACAAGCACAGAAACUUUCACAAACAGCAAGUGCAUAUGUGAUGUAGGUGAAAAAAGAAUCAAGACUUAAGGAACUUGAAUAGUGCAGAUAGUCCAUUAGUGUCAAGGCCAACAAUAACUCUUCUGCUACUCUGGAUCAAAUUGAUUUUAACUCUUUUACAACUUACAGAAUUGCUAUGCAACAUACAUUGAGUCCUCGCGUCAUAGAAAUAUUACUUUACCAUUUCCCCGCAAGCACUUUAUAGCAGGGUACAAUUUUCUCUAAAGUUUAGCGUAAAUAAUAUUCUGAAAUAAUAUUUUAAUUAGAAAAUAACUUUUCUUAUUUUAUGAGAUUCAAGCAAGUAUAAAAUAGUUGGAAUUUGGUAAUAAAUUGAAGAUUAAAUGAACUUUUUAAAGUGCGUGAAAAUGCGUGAUUGCGAGUAAAUGGUAAAUGCGUGAUUUUGCCUUAGAAAUUGGAAAUGGUGUAUGCAUUAAAAUGCGUGACUGCAGGGAAGGUAGUUAAGAAGAAUAUUUACAUAUUUUUGCAUACACUGUAUAUGUAAAUAUUGGAGGAAGAUCUUUGAUUAAUUUACUAUAGUAUAAAUCUUAUCCUUUUGAUUAUGCUAUAUAGGUGCUUGUGUAGGAGAUACGAACUUAAAACUUAAGGUCAGACGAGACGUUCCUCAAUAUCUGUUUUGUAUAUCUUCAUAAGCUAUGAAAAAUAUUAAAAAUUUUAAUAACAUUCUGUAUUUCCAAACAAGUUUCUAAAUGUCUUUAAAAAAUCCAAACAUUUUAUUAUUUGAAAUUGGAAAAUUAUUUUUCUUCCCAAAAGGAAUAUAUAAGAAAAACAGUAAACAUGUUUAAGUAGCAAUACUUCAAUGACAAACUCUCGGAAAAUUUUAUAUAUUAUUAAGGAACGUUUCAUCUGUCCUUAAGUGUUUAUAAAAAUACUGUAUACAAGAAAAUGUAA